UGAGUAAGCCAGGCAGUCGCGUGCGCGGGAGCGCAUGAGGAAAGUCCGGGCUCCAGAGGGCAAGGACGCCGGAUAACGUCCGGUGAAGGCAACUUUAAGGAAAGUGCAACAGAAACACACCGCCGAAACGGGUAGGGUGGCGUGUAAAAAUAAUAUGCAUGGAUUGCGCAGGAUUUUUUCGCCCGGCGAGGCUUUGCGACACAGCCCGGCGGAAAAAAGACAAGCAAGCCGCCCAGGUUAUUUUUACACGCCGCCUUGUGCCGUGGUAAGGUUGAAAUGGUGAGGUAAGAGCUCACCGGCGGCAUGGUAACAUGUCGGCCGUGUAAACCCCGUCCGGAGCAAGGCCAAGCAGGGCAUCGUCAUCUUCGGAUGACAGCGGCGGCCCGUCGCUGCCCGGUAUGGUAGGCCGCAUGAGCCUGUUGGCGACAGCAGGUCGAGAUAGAUGAUUGCCACCCGCCCGCGCGACGCGCGAGGCGGGACACAGAACCCGGCUUACGGCUUGCUCAUCCU
rnacentral:RNase_P_RNA from 1 species